GGGCCCGUAGCUCAGCUAGGUAGAGCGCUCGGCUCAUAGCCUCGGUGAGAGACCGAGUGGUCGAGGGUUCAAAUCCCUCCGGGCCCA
rnacentral:tRNA from 1 species